rnacentral:snRNA from 1 species
CUGCCUGCCUUAGCAGUAUAAAUGCUAAAACUAGAAUGAUAUAGAAGAUUGGCAUGGCUCCUAUACAAGAACAGCACAUGAACUCAUGAAACUGUAAGACUUUAA